CCUACGGGAGGCAGCAGUGGGGGAUAUUGGACAAUGGGGGAAACCCUGAUCCAGCGACGCCGCGUGAGUGAAGAAGUAUUUCGGUAUGUAAAGCUCUGUCAGCAGGGAAGAAAGAAAUGACGGUACCUGACCAAGAAGCCCCGGCUAACUACGUGCCAGCAGCCGCGGUAAUACGUAGGGGGCAAGCGUUAUCCGGAAUUACUGGGUGUAAAGGGAGCGUAGACGGUGAUGCAAGUCUGGAGUGAAAGGCGGGGGCCCAACCCCCGGACUGCUCUGGAAACUGUGUAACUUGAGUGCAGGAGAGGUAAGCGGAAUUCCUAGUGUAGCGGUGAAAUGCGUAGAUAUUAGGAAGAACACCAGGGGCGAAGGCGGCUUUCUGGACUGAAACUGACGCUGAGGCACGAAAGCGUGGGGAGCGAACAGGAUUAGAUACCCUUGUAGUC
rnacentral:rRNA from 1 species